GGGAGGUGUGAUAUCGUGGUUCCUGGGAGGUGUGAUAUCGUGGUUCCUGGGAGGUGUGAUAUUGUGGUUCCU
ensembl:miRNA MIR3689C microRNA 3689c